ensembl:lncRNA
UGAGGAUGAAUCUAUCCCGAACCUGAUUUCAUGUGAAUGAAAUUCUAUCGGAUCUGACUUCUGAAACGCAACCUAUGGUUCUUAGCAUAUCUCAACAUGCUAACAUGCUUUACAAGUCUAGUUUUAGUCUGUAGUCCUUUGCUAACUUCAUAGCUAACAUUAUCUAUAUUUAAAAUCUGCAAGAGUUUAACUGAAAUAUGUUUUCCCCUCAGGAAGAAACGUCCAGAGAGACUCGUCCAUGGACGCGACAAUGCUGGUUCUGGUACUGUGCCAUAAUGAGAAGAAACGUCCAGAGAGACUCAACCAAGGACGCGACAAUGCUGUUUCUGGUACUGUGCCAUAAUGAGAAGAAACGUCCAGAGAGACUCGUCCAUGGACGCGACAAUGCUGGUUCUGGUACUGUGCCAUAAUGAGUAAGUACUGGGCUUGAUGUUUUGGGCUCUCUUGCACCAGAUUCAUGUUGUAGCCAUCGAUGAUGGCAAACCCCUUGUAAUGUUGUAGGGGAAAGGCUGGUGUCGCUAAAGGGUUUUCAUAUUAAGACUUAGCCUUAAUGCUUUGUUUGGGGUUGUCUUGAGGAUGAAUCUAUCCCGAACCUGAUUUCAUGUGAAUGAAAUUCUAUCGGAUCUGACUUCUGAAACGCAACCUAUGGUUCUUAGCAUAUCUUAUGCUUUACAAGUCUAGUUUUAGUCUGUAGUCCUUUGCUAACUUCAUAGCUAACAUUAUCUAUAUUUAAAAUAUGCAAGAGUUUAACUUAAAUAUGUUUUUCCCUCAGGAAGAAACGUCCAGAGAGACUCGUCCAUGGACGCGACAAUGCUGGUUCUGGUACUGUGCCAUAAUGAAAAGAAACGUCCAGAGAGACUCGUCCAUGGACGCGACAAUGCUGGUUCUGGUACUGUGCCAUAAUGAAAAGAAACGUCCAGAGAGACUCGUCCAUGGACGCGACAAUGCUGGUUCUGGUACUGUGCCAUAAUGAGUAAGUACUGGGGCUGUUUUGGGCUCUCUUGCACCAGAUUCAUGUUGUAGCCAUCGAUGAUGGCAAACCCCUUGUAUUGUUGUGGGGGAAAGGCUGGUGUUGCUAAAGGGUUUUCAUAUUAAGACUUAGCCUUAAUGCUUUGUUUGGGGUUGUCUUGAGGAUGAAUCUAUCCCGAACCUGAUUUCAUGUGAAUGAAAUUCUAUCGGAUCUGACUUCUGAAACGCAACCUAUGGUUCUUAGCAUAUCUCAUGCUUUACAAGUCUAGUUUUAGUCUGUAGUCCUUUGCUAACUUCAUAGCUAACAUUAUCUAUAUUUAAAAUCUGCAAGAGUUUAACUGAAAUAUUUUUUCCCCUCAGGAAGAAACGUCCAGAGAGACUCGUCCAUGGACGCGACAAUGCUGGUUCUGGUACUGUGCCAUAAUGAGUAAGUACUGGGGCUGUUUUGGGCUCUCUUGCACCAGAUUCAUGUUGUAGCCAUCGAUGAUGGCAAACCCCUUGUAUUGUUGUGGGGGAAAGGCUGGUGUUGCUAAAGGGUUUUCAUAUUAAGACCACAUUUACACAUAGCCGGGUAUUUACAGAAACGAAUAUUUCUGCCCCUCCAUUUUCAAAAAUAACGUCGUACACACAAGAUCGUUU